CAGGUGAACCUGGUGGUCCAUGACGACCUUCAUCUCCUGGAGGACCUUUUGGUCCUGGAUUGCCAAUUAAUCCAAUUGGUCCAGGAUUACCAUCUCGUCCUGGAGUCCCUCUAGGUCCAGGUUCACCAUCUUUACCAGGUUGUCCAGGCGGACCAGAAAUUCCAUCUACUCCUCUAAUUCCCGGAGGUCCUGGAGGACCUUCCCUACCUCUUUCACCACGUGGACCUGCAGGACCCUAUUAUAUAUUUCAUAGAUUAUUUCUUAAAAUUUUUCAAUACAAUAAACUUUCUAUUCAGAUUAAAUAAGAAUUAAAGUAUUAAUAAAUAUUAAUACUAAUAAUAAAGAACUAAAAUAAUUUAAUGCAUCACUAUUUUAUAUUUAUGUUUUAAAUAUUUUAAAAACUAUAAUGCAAUAAUUUCGAUAUAAUAUAAUAAAUGGAAAGAUAUAAAAGCAAUCUGGCAAUAUUGAAAGUAUUAAAAUAUAUAAACAUUAAUAUUUAAUACUCACAAUAGGACCUACAGAACCCAUUGGUCCAGGUGCACCCAUAGAUCCUUUUUCACCAGAUACACCUUGUUCUCCUUUCGCACCAUCUAAUCCUGGAAAACCGCGAUGUCCUUUCAUACCAGGAAGACCAGGUAGUCCUGGAAGACCUCUUGGACCGACUGGACCAACUGAUCCUGGAGGACCAGGUUCUCCAUCUUCACCAUUAAACCAGGUAAUCCUCUUGGGCCUGGAGCACCUGGAGGACCUGGAGUUCCAGGUUCGCCAGGUUCUCCUCGUACUCCUUGAAAACCUUGCGGUCCAGAUGGUCCAGGUGGACCUAUUAUAUAUUGAAAAAUAUUGUAUAGCCAUAUAACAAUUAAAAUUAAAAUAUAAAUAUUUACCUGGUGGACCACGGGGACCAACAGGGCCUACUUGUGUUUGUAAAUAAGCAUCUGGAUUAUAUAAAGAUGCUGCUGCUCCCGUUGGACCUUUAUCUUGACUUGCUUGAGAUAAAGCUAAUUGUUGAUAAUACAUUGAUACCUAUUUAUAUCAAUUUAUUAUUAAUAGGAAGAAAUAUGUUAUGUAAUUAAUGUAAUAUUCUAUAAAUAAUGUAAGAUACAAUAUAAUUUAUAAUAUAUUUUAUAAUACAUAGGCA